GGAUAGUGUUGCAGUUAGAGCUCGUAGUUGGAUUUCGGAAGGUCUUUAGCAGUCCGCCCCUUCGGGGAGCGGGUUGCUGGCCUCCUAUGUUCCUAACGGUCCUCAUCCGCGAGGGUGGGGAAUCAACCGCUAGGAUCGUUUACUUUGAGGAAAUUAGAGUGUUCAAAGCAGGCGUAACUCGCCUCCGAAUACGUUAGCAUGGGAUAAUGGAAUACGACUUCGGUCUUGUUUCGUUGGUUUCGCUUGGCUGAAGUAAUGAUUGAUAGGGACAGUUGGGGGCAUUAGUAUUUAGUUGUCAGAGGUGAAAUUCUAGGAUUUACUAAAGACUGACCAAUGCGAAAGCAUUUGCCAAGGAUGUUUUCAUUAAUCAAGAACGAAAGUAGGGGGAUCGAAGACGAUCAGAUACCGUCGUAGUCUCUACCGUAAACUAUGCCGACCAGGGAUCCGGAGAGUUUGCAUGGAUGACUCCCCGGGCACCUUGUGAGAAAUCAUAAGUGUUUGGGUUUUGGGGGGGAGUAUGGUCGCAAGGCUGAAACUUAAAGGAAUUGACGGAAGGGCACCACCAGGAGUGGAACCUGCGGCUUAAUUUGACUCAACACGGGGAAACUUACGAGGUCAGGACACUGUGAGGAUUGACAGAUUGAAAGCUCUUUCUUGAUUCAGUGGGUGGUGGUGCAUGGCCGUUCUUAGUUGGUGGAGUGAUUUGUCUGGUUAAUUCCGUUAACGAACGAACCCUUU
rnacentral:rRNA from 1 species